rnacentral:lncRNA from 1 species
AUGGAGGGUAUUGAAGACAAGAAAAAGAAGAUUCCUGCUGUGCCAGAAACCCUUUAAAAAAGGAAUUUCACAGAGCUAAAGGUCAAGUGCCUGAGAAAGAAGUUUGCCCAUAAAAUGCUUUGAAAAGAAAGGAGAAAGAAGUAAAAAAAAAAAGCUCAGCACUGUCACAAGAAAUAUAUGGCAAGAAAAGCUGGCAAUUUCUAUAUACCUGUGAAACCCAAAUUGUCACUUGCCUUAAGGAUCAAAUGUAUCAAUGGUGUGAGCCCAAAACUCUGUUGCAACUUCUUCACUUUCCCCAGAUCUUCAAUGGCAGCUUUGUUAAACUCAACAAGGCUUCAGUUAACACGCUGAGGAUUGUGGAACCAUAUAUCACAUGGAGUACCUGAACCUGAAAUCAGUAAAUGAACUGAUCUACAAAUUGGUUAUGGCAAAAUCAAUAAACAAAUUACCUUAACAGAUAACGCUUUGAUUGCUAGAUUUCCUGAUAAAUAUGGCAUCAUCUGACUGGAGAAUCUGAUUCAUGAGAUCUAUGCUGUUGAAAAACUCAAGUUCCUGUGAUCCUUCAAAUUAUCUUCUCCACGAGGGAGAAUGAAGGACUACCUAUUUUGUAUUAAUAAAAGGUAUAAAUGCCAGCAACAGAAAAGACUAUAUCAACAGGCUUAUUAAACGGAUAAACUGA